rnacentral:rRNA from 1 species
UACAGAGGUCUCAACCGUUGUUCGGAUUCAUUGGGCGUAAAGCGUGCGCAGGCGGUUGUGCAAGACAGAUGUGAAAUCCCCGGGCUCACCUGGGAACUGCAUUUGUGACUGCACGGCUGGAGUGCGGCAGAGGGGGAUGGAAUUCCGCGUGUAGCAGUGAAAUGCGUAGAUAUGCGGAGGAACACCGAUGGCGAAGGCAAUCCCCUGGGCCUGCACUGACGCUCAUGCACGAAAGCGUGGGGAGCAAACAGG